UAAAACCCAACAGACCUAACACCCAAAUAACCUAACAACCCUAGCCCAACAAAAUCAGAAAAAUGAACAGCAAAAACAAACCCUAGGUGCGCCGCACCUAGGGUCUUCUGACUUCGGCCGCCGUCAGCGCAAAUGGCGCACCUGCCACCGUCCCUUCCAUGCCUCCAUCACGUCUCUACCCACCUGCUCCACCGCCUUCAAAUGGCCUGCAAGAAAGGACAAGAAAUAAUAUAAAAACAUUGUAAAAUGGCUAUAAAAAGCCAUUCAAAACCAUUGUAAGGGAUUCGGUUUUCCCCUCUUUUAAAAACACUUUCAGAAAUCAAAAGGAAACAAAAAAAUUUGAAGGUAAUUUGCGAUUCUCCUGUUUCGGAUUUGUUUAUUUUUCUUUUUCUUUUUCUUCUCUCUACAUCUACAAACAAAGAAACAGAAAAAGGAAACGAAACGGUACCUGAGUCACUUCGCUUGCGUUGUCGCCGGAGUCCGUCUUCGGGUCUCCGAGAUCGGACCCCGAGGGCGACGUUUGGGGGUUUCGCUCCUCGGCCCUACGAGUCUAAAGCCCGAUCCUUAGUUGG
rnacentral:lncRNA from 1 species